AACCAAGCUUUAACAUUUGUAGUUAAUGCAUGUUUGAAUUCAUAUAUUGUGUCAUUUAGGGUAUAUGUGACCAGAAAGGUGCUCUUUUAAUCAUGUAUAAAAAUAUGCUAAACCCCCUUCAACCUAAUAGUUUAGGCGGAGGUGCGGCUGCAGUAGUGGGCGGUUCAGUCACGAGGCAAAUUGCUGCGUCUCAAUCCACUGUAUGUCGCCCUUCCGCAUCUGCGGUGGAAAGUGGCAGAGCUUCAGCCGUGUUUUUCAGACCAGGAGACAUCCCUAAAAUCGGUCUUCUCGCGAAAACGUCUGAAGCAUCUGAACGUUUGGCCUAGAAAAAAAUGACCACUCUAUAGAAAGGGAAGACUCAAGUGUCAUGCGACUCGUCUAAAGCUGAGCCCUAGGACCAUGCCUUAGGACUACCUGGCCUGAUGACUCCUUGCUGACCCCAGUCCACCUGGUCGAGCUGCUGCUCCAGUUUCAACUGUUCUGCCUGCGGCUAUGGAACCCUGACCUGUUCAUUGAACGUGCUACCUGUCCCAGACCUGCUGUUUUCAACUCUCUAGAGACAGCAGGAGCGGUAGAGAUACUCUGAAUGAUCGGCUAUGAAAAGCCAACUGACAUUUACUCCUGAGGUGCUGACCUGUUGCACCCUCGACAACCACUGUGACUAUUAUUAUUUGACCCUGUUGGUCAUCUAUGAACAUUUGAACAUCUUGGCCAUGUUCUGUUAUAAUCUCCACCUGGCACAGCGAUAAGAGGACUGGCCACCCCUCAUAGCCUGGUUCCUCUCUAGGUGUCUUCCUAGGUUCUGGCCUUUCUAGGGAGUUUUUCCUAGCCACCGUGCUUCUACACCUGCAUUACUUGCUGUUUGGGAUUUUAGGCUGGGUUGCUGUACAGCACUUUGUGACAACAGCUGAUGUAAGAAGGGCUUUAUAAAUACAUUUGAUUGAUUGACAGCCAAAGAACCAUUUUUUUCUAAUAGUGUAGUGUGACUGUUUAAAUUAUGCUGCAGGGCCAUUCUGUGCGUUUGAGAGACAUUGAAUUCCUUUUUAUUACAAAACACAAGAUAUUUAGGAUGCAGAGCCGGCACAAUAAGACUGGUUUUACAAUGACCAAAUCUAACAUUAAAUCUUUACUUCAAAAUAGGGGAGAUGCUAAACUGGAAAUUGUCCCAAACCAAAUAUUUAACUGCUUUUGUGUCAGUAAGUGUGUAUACAGUAUAUUGUGUCUUUAUCAAUACAUGUCUUUGUUUGUAUUUUAUUCUGUUUGUAUGAGAGUGCAGUAUUCUCUAGCUCUUCCUCAAGGCAGAGGAGGCAGUAGCUGGAAUUCUGGGGAGGCGAAGCACUGUAACGUUCAAGUAAUCCAUUUCCCCGUUCUCCUCCUCCUCCUCACUGUUACUCCUCUGUGGUGGGGGAGCAUUGUCCUGGCUUUUCUGGAGGAUGGAGGGGGGGUUUUGUGGAAGUCCCCCUGGAUGAACUGCCACAUGAACAGGGUCCUGCACUGGUCUUCUACACCUCUGUGAAUAUGGGAACGUUCCAUUAAACACUUUGGAGAGAAAUGGGGUUGUAUAGCAGCUUGGCGUCACAACAUGUAUCAAUCGCAGCCACCAAGCUACACUGCAGUUCCGAUUAUAGCCACCUAAGGGCAUUAGAGAAUUAUCUCUAGCCCUCUCUCAGAACCAUUGAAAUAACUAUGAAGUGAGAGAGGAGUUAUGGGUAGAUGUGAGAGUCUCACCUGACAGAGCAACAGUGCUGUUAUGGUCCCUCCCAGCACCAGCACUCCCAGAAUCCCACUCGCAAUGGACACAAUCAUUAUGAGAGGAGAUUCACUGAAGGCUGACAAAACAGGAGGGAACUAGUUAGAAAUGUCUUAUCUUUUCUACAUCCUUGUUCAGAUUAUUACAAUAGCUGAUGUAUAAGUUAGUGUGAGAGUUCAAAAAGCAAGCACGCGCGUGGUGGCUAUGGGUGUCAUCUUGGUGACUAGGUGCUUCUAUGGCAGAACAACUUGGCGUAGAAUAGAAAUAUGUGAGGUACAUGUCAGCCUGGUUUGGAGUUGGUGAAGGUGGGCCGUACCUGUUUGUGGGUCCUCACUAAGAUACAAAAAAAGGUGACAUUUCAGAGACCCAAGUGGGAAGGUUGUGAGAGAACAGCAGUACGGCCCAGCGUCAUUCCUCUGUGUCCCUAGUAACAUGAAUCCACGCAUCGUCACAGCAGAGACACGGUCGAUAUAGUCCUGCUCCACGACAACUGGGUUGUUUGUGUUAGAAACCAGAAUCCUACGGCCAUCACACCCUCCAAUCCUCCACUCAACCUGGGACACAUUCCCGUCUCCAGACGGCUCACAGGACAGAGUCACAGGAUGACCAAUCUUUGCUGUGAUGUUACCAGAAGUUCUUACCCUGCUGUCUGCAAAACAACCUGGAGGGGAUGGGGGGGGGGUCUUAUUUUGGGAUGAUCUUACAUCAUCAUGAAAACUUUGGCACACAUUUCUAACUUUGUUCUCUAUAAUUAUGUAAAAUUAGAGAUACAGUGCAUUUGGAAAGUAUUGCGACCCCUUCCCCUUUUGACAUUUUGUUACGUUACAGACUUAUUCUUAAAUGGAUCAAAUUAAAAAAACAAUCUACACACAAUACCCCAUAAUGACAAAGUGAGAACAUGUAUUUAGAUUUUUUUUCAAAUGUAUUAAAUCUAAAAACAGA